rnacentral:rRNA from 1 species
UACGUAGGGGGCAAGCGUUGUCCGGAUUUAUUGGGCGUAAAAGGCUUGUAGGUGGCCACGCCAAGUCGGAUGUGAAAUCUCCCGGCUCAACUGGGAGGGGUCAUUCGAUACUGGUGGGCUCGAGGCCGGUAGGGGGAAGCGGAAUUCCCGGUGUAGUGGUGGAAUGCGUAGAUAUCGGGAGGAACACCAGUGGCGAAGGCGGCUUCCUGGACCGGUUCUGACACUGAGGAGCGAAAGCGUGGGGAGCGGAAUCCGGG